UACGAAGGGGGCUAUCGUUGUUCGGAAUCACUGGGCGUAAAGCGCACGUAGGCGGAUUGUUAAGUCAGGUGUGAAAUCCCGAGGCUCAACCUCGGAACUGCCCUCGAAACUGGCUGGCUAGAGUCCCGGAGAGGGUGGCGGAAUUCCCGGUGUAGGGGUGAAAUCCGUAGAUAUCGGGAGGAACACCAGUGGCGAAGGCGGCCACCUGGACGGUGACUGACGCUGAGACGCGAAAGCGUGGGGAGAAAACAGG
rnacentral:rRNA from 1 species